GGAAGUAAAAGUCGUAACAAGAUCUCCGUUGGUGAACCAGCGGAGGGAUCAUUACCGAGUUUACAACUCCCAAACCCCUAUGUGAACGUUACCAAACUGUUGCCUCGGCGGGAAAUUCAUGCCCCGGGCGCGUCGCAGCCCCGGACCAAGGCGCCCGCCGGAGGACCAACCAAAACUCUUUUGUAUGUCCCUCGCGGACUUUUAUAAUUCUGAACCAUCUCGGCGCCCCUAGCGGGCGUUUCGAAAAUGAAUCAAAACUUUCAACAACGGAUCUCUUGGUUCUG
rnacentral:misc_RNA from 1 species